UACGUAGGGUGCAAGCGUUUGUCCGGAAUUAUUGGGCGUAAAGAGCUCGUAGGCGGUUCGUCGCGUCGGCUGUGAAAACCCGGAGCUCAACUCCGGGCCUGCAGUCGAUACGGGCGGACUCGAGUUCGGCAGGGGAGACGUGGAAUUCCUGUGGUAGCGGUGAAAUGCGCAGAUAUCAGGAGGAACACCGGUGGCGAAGGCGGGUCUCUGGGCCGAUACUGACGCUGAGGAGCGAAAGCGUGGGGAGCGAACAGG
rnacentral:rRNA from 1 species